AGCAGCCGCGGUAAUUCCAGCUCCAAUAGCGUAUAUUAAAGUUGUUGCAGUUAAAAAGCUCGUAGUUGAAUUUCGGGAUCAAUAUGUUGGUCGUGCCUCGGUACGUACUAGCAUAUUGGUUUUCUCCUUUCUGAAGAACCAUGAUGUCAUUUAUUUGGUGUCGUGGGGAAUCAGGACUGUUACUUUGAAAAAAUUAGAAGUGUUAAAGCAGGCUCACGCUUGAAUACAUUAGCAUGGAAUAAUGAAAUAGGACGUUUGAUUCUAUUUUGUUGGUUUCUAGGAUCGACGUAAUGAUUAAUAGGGAUAGUUGGGGGCAUUAGUAUUCAAUUGUCAGAGGUGAAAUUCUUGGAUUUAUUGAAGACUAACUACUGCGAAAGCAUUUGCCAAGGAUGUUUUCAUUAAUCAAGAACGAAAGUUAGGGGAUCGAAGACGACCAGAUACCGUCGUAGUCUUAACCAUAAACUAUGCCGACUAAGGAUCGGAUGAUGUUAAUUUUUUUCAAUGACUCAUUCGGCGCCUU
rnacentral:misc_RNA from 1 species